rnacentral:rRNA from 1 species
GAUGAACCGCUUUCGGGCGGGGAUUAGUGGCGAACGGGUGAGUAACACGUGGGCAAUCUGCCCUGCACUCUGGGACAAGCCCUGGAAACGGGGUCUAAUACCGGAUAUGACUGUCCAUCGCAUGGUGGAUGGUGUAAAGCUCCGGCGGUGCAGGAUGAGCCCGCGGCCUAUCAGCUUGUUGGUGAGGUAGUGGCUCACCAAGGCGACGACGGGUAGCCGGCCUGAGAGGGCGACCGGCCACACUGGGACUGAGACACGGCCCAGACUCCUACGGGAGGCAGCAGUGGGGAAUAUUGCACAAUGGGCGAAAGCCUGAUGCAGCGACGCCGCGUGAGGGAUGACGGCCUUCGGGUUGUAAACCUCUUUCAGCAGGGAAGAAGCGAAAGUGACGGUACCUGCAGAAGAAGCGCCGGCUAACUACGUGCCAGCAGCCGCGGUAAUACGUAGGGCGCAAGCGUUGUCCGGAAUUAUUGGGCGUAAAGAGCUCGUAGGCGGCUUGUCACGUCGGUUGUGAAAGCCCGGGGCUUAACCCCGGGUCUGCAGUCGAUACGGGCAGGCUAGAGUUCGGUAGGGGAGAUCGGAAUUCCUGGUGUAGCGGUGAAAUGCGCAGAUAUCAGGAGGAACACCGGUGGCGAAGGCGGAUCUCUGGGCCGAUACUGACGCUGAGGAGCGAAAGCGUGGGGGAGCGAACAGGAUUAGAUACCCUGGUAGUCCACGCCGUAAACGGUGGGCACUAGGUGUGGGCAACAUUCCACGUUGUCCGUGCCGCAGCUAACGCAUUAAGUGCCCCGCC